UCUACAUAGAACAUUGAGCUACGGAAGACUCCCACCUAAGGGAAUUAGUUUAACACUUUCAGUUACUGAUGAACUUGCUGUAACUGUGAGACCACGGUAAUGGAGGAGACCACGGUAAUGGAGGAGACCACGGUAAUGGAGGAGACCACGGUAGUGGAGAGGAGAAUGUGAGAAUCAAUAAAGGAGAGAAGAGCACCCUCUGGUGUUGCCACAGAGGCAAGUGCUACCACACAGGCAUGCUGCAGUGAAUUUAACUCAUCCUGUGUUCCUGCAACCGUUGUUUAAGG
rnacentral:lncRNA from 1 species